rnacentral:rRNA from 1 species
AGCGGCGGACGGGUGAGUAACGCGUAGGCAACCUGCCCUUAACACAGGGAUAGCCUCGGGAAACCGGGAUUAAAACCUGAUAAUGCCAUAUAGUCACAUGGCUGUUUGGCCAAAGAUUUAUCGGUUAAGGAUGGGCCUGCGUCUGAUUAGUUUGUUGGUGGGGUAACGGCCUACCAAGACUACGAUCAGUGGCCGACCUGAGAGGGUGAUCGGCCACAUUGGAACUGAGACACGGUCCAAACUCCUACGGGAGGCAGCAGUGGGGAAUAUUGCACAAUGGGCGAAAGCCUGAUGCAGCAACGCCGCGUGAGCGAUGAAGGCCUUUGGGUCGUAAAGCUCUGUCCUUGGGGAAGAAAAAAAUGACGGUACCCAAGGAGGAAGCCCCGGCUAACUACGUGCCAGCAGCCGCGGUAAUACGUAGGGGGCAAGCGUUAUCCGGAAUUAUUGGGCGUAAAGAGUACGUAGGUGGUCUUUUAAGCGCAGGGUUUAAGGCAAUGGCUUAACCAUUGUUCGCCCUGUGAACUGGAAGACUUGAGUGUAGGAGAGGAAAGUGGAAUUCCUAGUGUAGCGGUGAAAUGCGUAGAUAUUAGGAGGAACAUCAGUGGCGAAGGCGACUUUCUGGACUAUUACUGACACUGAGGUACGAAAGCGUGGGGAGCAAACAGGAUUAGAUACCCUGGUAGUCCACGCCGUAAACAUAAAGCACUAGGUGUCGGGGUCGCAAGAUUUCGGUGCCGUAGUUAACGCAUUAA